rnacentral:lncRNA from 10 species
GAGAGAGAGAAGAAGGAAGGAAGGAAGGGAGGGAAGAGAGAGAAGAAGGAAGGAAGGAAGGAAGAGAAAUUGGAAUGACUGACAAUGUAUUCUUCAGCACGGCCAGGUUCCAUGCCACCACUGGACUCUGUACAUGGACUCAUGAUCUGUUUUAAUAAUCUGGGAUUUACCUUAAUUGUUGAGUAUUCUGCUAUGCCUUCAGACUUUUCUCCAGAGUGAAAAAUGAAUUACGAUGAUCCAGACAAGAGCUACUGAUAUGCUGACUCGGCUCCAUAAAAAUCACUCAGUUUAGUAAAACAAUUAUUUCCUAGCCCAAUAUAGACAAAAUAAUUUCCUUGUUAGUUGUCUAGAGUUGUAUUAUUUUUUUAACCAGUUGUGAGCAACAUCCUUUUAGACAUAUUACCUUAUGUGAUUGACGUGGAAUUUCAACAACACUUUUAUGAGUAUGCUGCCAAUUUGCACCUAUUUCAAUAGAUUUUUCCAGCAACAUGUAGGCAUGAAUGUGCUCAUGGCCUUUCUUAAAUGAUUAAUUGAAAGGUUCUAAAGUCUUUUUUCAAGACUAGCCAACCCUAUAUCAUAACAUGACUUCCAUGAAAAAAUAUACUUUACUAUACUCUGUCUUAUUUUUGAGGUGUUUUAGAUAUUAAUUUUCUAUUAGUAAAAUAAUAUAAGUCAUUAAAGCCAAGCAUGAUAGCCAAUAACUUUUGUCCCUCACUUAUACUCCAGCAAUAUGUUAACAAUAUAGAAACUUUUAAAAUAAUACCUGAUUGACUAGAAAUUUGAUUGAGGAAGCCUUCUUCUGCAAUAUGUUAACAAUAUAGAAACUUUUAAAAUAAUACCUGAUUGACUAGAAAUUUGAUUGAGGAAGCCUUCUUCUGCCUUUCUUACAUAGUGUAUUACAGAAUAUAUUUAUAAUCAGUAAUAUUUCUCUGAAAAGUCAUAGAAAGACAUUUAUGCUUAGAACAGUAGCUAGAAGGAUGAAGAAAGUACUUUUAAAAGCGAACAGUAGAGAGUAAGUAAAACAGAUGCAAGGUUGAUUUUUUUCACAGCAAAUCUAUUUUGAGUCUUUAUUAAAAUUUUAAUAAUAAACUUUUUUUUUUAAUGGGAAGUUGAGGCCAGGUGCGGUGGCUCACGACCAUAAUCCCUGCACUUUGGGAGGCUGAGGCAGGUGGAUCACAUGAAGUUGGGAGUUCGAGACCAGCCUGACCAACACAGAGAAACCCC